rnacentral:lncRNA from 1 species
UUAUGAUGUUUCCAAUAUCUAGGGGUUUCCAGUGGUGCCAGUACCAAGGUCUUCCAACAUCUCCAGGUCUUCCAGUAACUGCAAGUCUUCCAACACUGUCAAGGUCUUCCAGAUAAUCCUGAUCUUCCAGAAAAUAUGUCUUCCAGAUGACACAUGUCUUCCAACAACCUCCAAGUCUUCCAGUAAAUUGAGUCUUCCAUGGUAACUAGAUCUUUCAUGGUAUAUAGAUCUUCCAGGAAAAUCUGUGUCUUCCAGGAAAAUCUUUGUCUUCCAAAGGAUUCAUGUCUUCCAGGAAAAUCUACGUCUUCCAGAAAAAUUCAUGUCUUCCGGGGAAAAUCCAUGUCUUCCACAAAAAUCCAUGUCUUCCAUUACAGUCUACGUCUUCCAGAAAAGCCUGCGUCUUCCACAAAAUCCAGUUCUUCCUGAAAAUCAGUGUCUUCCAGAAAAAUAUCCAGGUCUUCCAACCAAUCCAUGUCUUCCAGAAAAAUCUAGGUCUUCCAGAUCAUCUGUGUCUUCCACCAGUUCAAGUCUUCCAGAAACUCAUGUCUUCCACUAAA